UCACUCACCUCACCAAGGCGUAGAGAGAAAGAUGAAGUGAAGCUUUUACUCUUCAGGAACUUCAUAUCAAGUCCUUCACCUCUAUCACUUGUGGAGGACGACAUGACUGGAUCCUGGAGACUAUUUCUGCUCUGUAGUCUCCUGCAAGAUGCAUCACUCGAUUUUUACGGAUGAUUCAAAGCCAGAAGUCAAACGCUGCACAACUUGCUGCUCACUUUUCCACUGCCCCCUAUGCCCAACUUUCAAACCAACCAUCAACACGGAGCUUCAGUGCCACCUGGAAUCCCACAUAAAACAUUCCAUUACAUUUAAAGACAAAAAGAUAUGCAGGUGCAACCUCAGCUGCAGGGAUGGGGGACAUUAUCAUUGCCCCCUUUGUGGCAAAACGAUCAUCAGGAAGUCGGUUAUGGAUCUACACCUGAAGUCCUGCACAAACACGCAAGACAGUCCCUCCACCUCCGCUGCCGUCCAUACAUCCAAUCAAAACCCCAUCACAGUCAAGACAGCCACCACCUCUCCAGCCCCGACUGCUCCUGCUCCCCAAGCUUCAACUGUUGUGUCUUCCUCUGCCGUCUCUGCUGCCCAGAGUAAAAGUACAACCGGUUUGAAAAACAGUUCCAAGUCUUAGUUUAAGUAACUAACUGGUUGCAAAAAUAAUAUAAUUGAAUAUAAAAUUAUUCCAACUUGGUGGCAUUUCAUUUUCCAUU